AUUGAACGCUGGCGGAAUGCUUUACACAUGCAAGUCGAACGGCAGCACGGACUUCGGUCUGGUGGCGAGUGGCGAACGGGUGAGUAACAUAUCGGAACGUAUCCAAUAAUGGGGGAUAACUAAUCGAAAGGUUGGCUAAUACCGCAUACGCCCUACGGGGGAAAGCAGGGGAUCUUCGGACCUUGCGUUAAUGGAGCGGCUGAUAUCUGAUUAGCUAGUUGGUGAGGUAAAGGCUCACCAAGGCGACGAUCAGUAGCUGGUCUGAGAGGACGACCAGCCACACUGGAACUGAGACACGGGCCAGACUCCUACGGGAGGCAGCAGUGGGGAAUUUUGGACAAUGGGCGCAAGCCUGAUCCAGCCAUUCCGCGUGCAGGAUGAAGGCCCUCGGGUUGUAAACUGCUUUUGUACAGAACGAAAAGGUUUCUACUAAUACUAGGAGCUCAUGACGGUACUGUAAGAAUAAGCACCGGCUAACUACGUGCCAGCCGCCGCCGUAA
rnacentral:rRNA from 1 species